rnacentral:lncRNA from 1 species
CCGUUAAAUCAUGGGCUGACGUGGAUGACGAGGACGAUGACGAUUACUAUGCUACUACCGCGCCGCCUCAAUCCGUUUGGGCCGCUGCGGAAUCCGACGACAAGAAAGAGACCCAGGAACAGGAGCCUGCUGUUGAGGUUCCAAUUCUUUACUUUAUUCCUUAUUUUAAUUCAUGUGUCUUUUUUCAAGUUGGUUUUUAUUUGAUGCAUAGUUUGUUGCUUUUCUUGAUGGUAAUGUAAUGGACAAGAUGCUGAUUGAGUGACUUGUGUGGAUAUUCCAGUGAAGAAAGCGAUCUUACACGAAUGAAUAUGAUAUAAUUAGUGUUUCGUUAUAUUUAAUUCUGAGAAUUUGUUUUUCUUAAUGACUGAAUGAUUAUGCGGGAUGUAGAUAUGUAGAUGUUUGCCCACCGAUGCCGAGGAUAUCUUGUAGAGACUGUGGGGCAUAGAUAUUCGGAAUAUGAGUGAUGUACAUUGGUUGUGUUUUUUAACAUUUUUCAGAAGAUAAAGCUCUUGUUAUUGAGUGUGUUAUAUUAUAUCCAUUUGCCGAGAGUUAUGGAAUUUGAACAGUUUUUUGGAUUCUAGCAUUCGAUUUAUUUUAAAUUUUUGUAUGUUUUUGUUUCUGUUUGAUUAUUUAGUUAUAUGAAAAUAUAAUUUGAUCCUUUGAAGUUUAUGCAUGUAAUUGAGUUCUAUGUUAAGUAUCACAAACUACUUGUUUUGGCUUACAUGCCUUAAAUCAUGCAUUGAUGUUAUUUUCUUUAUUUUUCUGCUAGUUAACCUGGUAUUUCUAGUUAUGUAUUUGUCUUUGCUUUAUACUUUUCUAUUAAAAGAUUUGCUGUUUUUUUGUUACAAUAAAUUAAAUGAUAUUUAGGACGUUGUCAUAUCAUCUCUAGUAUGUGUCAAUGUAACGAGCUUUGAUGGAGGUUGUGAAAAGAGGAGAUGUGAUGUGGUUGACUGAUUUGGUUUUAACCAAACCUAGGAUCCACGUCUACUGUUUUGCUGCUCCACGAUUAGGCAAUUGUUUCUGCAUCAACAUAAAGUAUGGAUUGCCUUUGUGAUAGUGGUUAGUGGAUAGUGGAUCUGCAGAGCUUAAACAUUUGCUUUGAUGUGGCUUGAUAACCCAUCGUUGCAUUAGUUGUACAUACAAAUUAAAAAUUCUCCUAUGGAUGCUUUUCAUAGGUCAGAUGGUAGCCUCUAGUUACUUGGACAUUAGCUGCACUUCAUUCAUAUUGUUGACCGUUGCAUAGGGUACAUGAUGGGCCACAAUUAAGUUACCGUGGUUUCCAAAAAACCUGAAUGUUUUUAUCGACUUAUCUUUAUGUCUAAGUGCAUUUAUGGUUAUGUUUAAGCAGUUUUGCUGAAAAUAGUGAUUAACUUGGUUGGAAAUAUUGUCAAAUAAUAUGGCAACAAGAAAACGUAAUAAGUACACAAUUAAAGUGGAAUUAAUUAUUCUCAUAUUUUAUUCAACCCUUAUCCGGGUGGAUCAUGAUGCUCAAAAUGUUACUAUAUCUAUGAUAUUGGAAUAUUUUCUAGGAAAAUGCUUGUUAUUUCUACUUUGGAAUGAAAAAUGCUCGGGUAUCUAAUGGUACUAUUAUGUUUAUAUGGCUGUUCUAAAUUUCAAAAGUGCUUUGUAAUUUGGGUUAUCUGGUAAUAUUAGAUGGUCUUAUAUUUAUUCCAUUCGGAUUCCAGGAAAGUGACAGUGAGGAAGAAGGUCUUGAUGAAGUUGAUGAGGAUGUUGAGGAAGAACAUGACAAUGAACCUGAAAAACCAGUAGAAGUGGAGCAGCCAAUAGUUAAAAACCCUCCUGAAGCUCCUUCAGUACAAAAAGAUUCAGAAAGGC